UGAAAGCCCAAGAAGUCCAAACUUCGAUAAGAUGCUCCAAAACUAGCCCAACAAUUUCAAAACCCAAUACAAGAAACCUUCCCUCUUCCCUCGUAAUCACAAACAUGGCGUUAGUUUCUUGAAGGUUUUCACUGUUUCCAUCCGCCAUUAGCUUACUGGUUUUCAACAAUUUUGGCAAAAUUUCAGAAGCGUGGGUUGCAGAAAUAUAAAGAAGAUUAUUUUUUCAUAAAUGGAUGAUGUAGAUGAGGUUUUGCGAAAUAUCACGCUUGAAGAGCUGGGUUGGCUAUGUUCCCUUUCCGAGUCUGAGCUUGAUAUGUUGAUUUGCUUGAAAUUGUUGGUCCUUCAUUGUGCAACGAUGAUUGGAGACGAAGAACUAGCCCAAAAAUUUGACUUGAAGAUGCUUCGAGCUAUUGGUAUGCAGGGUUCAUUUUGAUGGAAUAUGCCAAAAAGAACGUCGAAUCACUUUGUCCAGGCUUGGCCAAUUCUGCUGCAUUUAUGGAUUGUUAUAAUUUAUUAAAGUUUGGCGGUGAAGAUAUUUUGAGUAUCAAAGAGUUAAAGACAUGUAUAGGCUAUGAUUCGAAAAAGAGAUGUGCAAAAAGAGGACUAAACAACAAGAUUGCUCGAAGUAGAAGGAAACAGCGCUGAAACAUGAAAAUGAUGGGAAACCCAUCAAGUGAAAGGCUGAAACCCAAGUGUGCCUCUCAUGAAGAGUUUAAACGCUUGGAAUUGAGUUUCUCAUUCUUGUAACCUUGUUCAGCAAUGGUAACGAUGGAGAUGGGUUGAAUAUUUACUUUUGAAAUUUUCAGAUGAUUCACCAUGCUGAAAAUGACUAUUUUUUUGUAGUUUUACUAUUUGAAUUCUUCAUCGUCAACAUCAACUGCUCCUGCAUAUUGGUGCCAAGAACAUCUAUUUCUAAAUUAUGCAAAUUUAAGUA